rnacentral:rRNA from 1 species
UACGUAGGGUGCAAGCGUUAAUCGGAAUUACUGGGCGUAAAGCGUGCGCAGGCGGUUAUAUAAGACAGAUGUGAAAUCCCCGGGCUUAACCUGGGAAUUGCGUUGGAGACUGCAAGGCUGGAGUCUGGCAGAGGGGGGUAGAAUUCCACGUGUAGCAGUGAAAUGCGUAGAGAUGUGGAGGAACACCGAUGGCGAAGGCAGCCCCCUGGGUCAAGACUGACGCUCAUGCACGAAAGCGUGGGGAGCAAACAGG